GCCUUCGUAGUGCAGUGGUCAGCCCGCUUGACGAGUAUUCGAGAGGUCAGUGGUUCGAGUCCCGGCAAGGGCA
rnacentral:tRNA from 1 species